rnacentral:rRNA from 1 species
UAGGGAAUCUUCCGCAAUGGGCGAAAGCCUGACGGAGCAACGCCGCGUGAGUGAAGAAGGAUUUCGGUUCGUAAAGCUCUGUUGUUAGGGAAGAAUGAUUGUGUAGUAACUAUACACAGUAGAGACGGUACCUAACCAGAAAGCCACGGCUAACUACGUGCCAGCAGCCGCGGUAAUACGUAGGUGGCAAGCGUUGUCCGGAAUUAUUGGGCGUAAAGCGCGCGCAGGUGGUUUAAUAAGUCUGAUGUGAAAGCCCACGGCUCAACCGUGGAGGGUCAUUGGAAACUGUUAAACUUGAGUGCAGGAGAGAAAAGUGGAAUUCCUAGUGUAGCGGUGAAAUGCGUAGAGAUUAGGAGGAACACCAGUGGCGAAGGCGGCUUUUUGGCCUGUAACUGACACUGAGGCGCGAAAGCGUGGGGAGCAAACAGGAUUAGAUACCCCGGUAGUCCACGCCGUAAACGAUGAGUGCUAAGUGUUGGUCUCAUAAGAGAUCAGUGCUGCAGCUAACGCAUUAAGCACUCCGCCUGGGGAGUACGACCGCAAGGUUG